CAAGAAGAGGAUUUGUUGUGGCUCCCUUUCCUCUUUUUGCCCAGCCACCUUCUCAGGUCAGUGAAGAGCAGAAGCCCGAGCAGCCCCUGCCCAGCCGCCACCCGUUCGCUGGGAGCGUCUAGAUGAGAGGCAGCGCUCUUCAGCGGAGCUUCCUUUGCUAGGCCAGGAAGCGAGGUCUCCUUCUCCUUGGCGUGGCGCUACAGGAUGAAGCCCAGACCUGGGCCCAGGAAUCUCAAGCACCAACAUCUGAGUAAGCUUUCAGCUCAGGAGAGGACCAGUGAUAAAAGAGCCACACUAAAAAUAAGUAAGUCACAAGGAAAGUGUGAAUUUUCUGCAAGCAAAUUUCUUCUUCAUAAAUGCAAAGUGCCAGGGUACAACACUUGCUUUCAGAGAUGGAUGGGAGACUGGCAUGCAGCCCCAAGGACUUCAGUGCACCCAGGAGUUACAUAUGGCAUGAAUAGCAGAGGAGUUUGA
rnacentral:lncRNA from 1 species